ACCUAAAACGUUGCUUCGGCGGGAACAGACGGCCCCGUAACACGGGCCGCCCCCGCCAGAGGACCCCCUAACUCUGUUUCUAUUAUGUUUCUUCUGAGUAAAACAAGCAAAUAAAUUAAAACUUUCAACAACGGAUCUCUUGGCUCUGGCAUCGAUGAAGAACGCAGCGAAAUGCGAUAAGUAAUGUGAAUUGCAGAAUUCAGUGAAUCAUCGAAUCUUUGAACGCACAUUGCGCCCGCCAGUAUUCUGGCGGGCAUGCCUGUUCGAGCGUCAUUACAACCCUCAGGCCCCCGGGCCUGGCGUUGGGGAUCGGCGAGGCGCCCCCUGCGGGCACACGCCGUCCCCCAAAUACAGUGGCGGUCCCGCCGCAGCUUCCAUUGCGUAGUAGCUAACACCUCGCAACUGGAGAGCGGCGCGGCCACGCCGUAAAACCCCCAACUUCUGAAUGUUGACCUCGAAUCAGGUAGGAAUACCCGCUGAACUUAAGCAUAUCAAUAAGG
rnacentral:rRNA from 1 species